UGCACAAAUGCCGAAGGAAUUACAGCUUGUAGACGCUCGAGGUUGCGGGUUCGAGUCCCGUCUCUGCCGCCACACUAUGGCAGAGUAGCUCAAUCGGAUAGAGCGCGAAAUAUUUCUUCAAUCCUUGUUGUGCGGCG
rnacentral:Y_RNA from 1 species